rnacentral:rRNA from 1 species
AUUUCAUUUUGCUUGCAAGUGAAGAUGGCGACCGGCGCACGGGUGAGUAACACGUAUCCAACCUGCCGAUAACUCGGGGAUAGCCUUUCGAAAGAAAGAUUAAUAUCCGAUGGUAUAUCAAUCCCGCAUGAGAUUGAUAUUAAAGAAUUUCGGUUAUCGAUGGGGAUGCGUUCCAUUAGUUUGUUGGCGGGGUAACGGCCCACCAAGACUACGAUGGAUAGGGGUUCUGAGAGGAAGGUCCCCCACAUUGGAACUGAGACACGGUCCAAACUCCUACGGGAGGCAGCAGUGAGGAAUAUUGGUCAAUGGACGUAAGUCUGAACCAGCCAAGUAGCGUGAAGGAUGACUGCCCUAUGGGUUGUAAACUUCUUUUAUAUGGGAAUAAAGUAUUCCACGUGUGGGAUUUUGUAUGUACCAUAUGAAUAAGGAUCGGCUAACUCCGUGCCAGCAGCCGCGGUAAUACGGAGGAUCCGAGCGUUAUCCGGAUUUAUUGGGUUUAAAGGGAGCGUAGGUGGAUUGUUAAGUCAGUUGUGAAAGUUUGCGGCUCAACCGCAAAAUUGCAGUUGAAACUGGCAGUCUUGAGUACAGUAGAGGUGGGCGGAAUUCGUGGUGUAGCGGUGAAAUGCUUAGAUAUCACGAAGAACUCCGAUUGCGAAGGCAGCUCACUAGACUGUCACUGACACUGAUGCUCGAAAGUGUGGGUAUCAAACAGGAUUAGAUACCCUGGUAGUCCACACAGUAAACGAUGAAUACUCGCUGUUUGCGAUAUACAGUAAGCGGCCAAGCGAAAGCAUUAAGUAUUC